AUUGAACGCUGGCGGCAGGCCUAACACAUGCAAGUCGAGCGAGCGGCGGACGUGUGAGUAAUGUAUCGGGCUCUGCCCGCUGGAGGGGGUUAACUACUGGAAACGGUUGCCACUACCGCAUACUAUCGGAUGACCCCAUUUGGGAUUAGCUAGUAGGUGGGGUAAAGGCUCACCUAGGCGACGAUCUCUAGCUGGUCUGAGAGGAUGAUCAGCCACACUGGGACUGAGACACGGCCCAGACUCCUACGGGAGGCAGCAGUGGGGAAUAUUGCACAAUGGGCGCAAGCCUGAUGCAGCCAUGCCGCGUGUAUGAAGAAGGCCUUAGGGUUGUAAAGUACUUUAAGCGGGGAGGCGUUACCCACAGAAGAAGCACCGGCUAACUCCGUGCCAGCAGCCGCGGUAAUUC
rnacentral:rRNA from 1 species